rnacentral:rRNA from 1 species
UACAGAGGUCCCAAGCGUUGUUCGGAUUCACUGGGCGGAAAGGGUGCGUAGGUGGUGAGGUAAGUCGGAUGUGAAAGCUCGGAGCUCAACUCCGAAAUGGCAUUGGAAACUACCUUGCUCGAGGGUUGGAGGGGGGACUGGAAUACUUGGUGUAGCAGUGAAAUGCGUAGAUAUCAAGUGGAACACCAGUGGCGAAGGCGAGUCCCUGGACAACUCCUGACACUGAGGCACGAAAGCUAGGGGAGCAAACAGG